rnacentral:rRNA from 1 species
AACGAACGCUGGCGGCAUGCCUAACACAUGCAAGUCGAACGAAGUCUUCGGACUUAGUGGCGCACGGGUGCGUAACGCGUGGGAAUCUGCCCUUGGGUACGGAAUAACUCAGAGAAAUUUGUGCUAAUACCGUAUAAUGUCUUCGGACCAAAGAUUUAUCGCCCCAGGAUGAGCCCGCGUAAGAUUAGCUAGUUGGUGGGGUAAAAGCCUACCAAGGCGACGAUCUUUAGCUAGUCUGAGAGGAUGAUCAGCCACACUGGGACUGAGACACGGCCCAGACUCCUACGGGAGGCAGCAGUGGGGAAUAUAGGACAAUGGGCGAAAGCCUGAUCCAGCAAUGCCGCGUGAGUGAUGAAGGCCUUAGGGUUGUAAAAUCCUUUCACCGGUGAAGAUAAUGACUGUAGCCGGAGAAGAAGCCCCGGCUAACUUCGUGCCAGCCGCCGCGGUAAGAC